ensembl:lncRNA
UGCAUUGUCGUCAAUUUUUCUGAAAAACAAAGAGGAAAGUGUGAAGAGAGAGAAAAGUAGGAAAGAGGAAAAGAGUAAAGUGUGAGAAAAAAGCAAAGAGAGAAGAGAGGAAAAAGAAGAAAGUUUAAGGAAAGAACAAAGAGAAAAAGAACAAAGUGUGAGGAAAGAGGAUAGAGGAAAAAAGACUAAGUGUGAGAGAAAGGGGAUAGAGGAAAAAAAGACUAAGUGUGAGAGAAAAGGGGAUAGAGGAAAAAAAGACUAAGUGUGAGAGAAAAGGGGAUAGAGGAAAAAAAGACUAAGUGUGAGAGAAAAGGGGAUAGAGGAAAAAAAGACUAAGUGUGAGAAAAAAGGGGAUAGAGGAAAAAAGACUAAGUGAGAGAAAAGGGGAUAGAGGAAAAAAAGACUAAGUGUGAGAGGAAAAAAAGACUAAGUGUGAGAGGAAAAAAGACUAAGGAAAGAGUGAGGAAAGAGGAAAAAGAACAAAGUGCUGCUUUACUCUUGUGUUUGAUUGUUUCAGAUGCUGAGAGAUCAAGCGGUGGACGUUCAUAGAGGAGAGGUGAGUUAGACAUUGUCACACAUUGCUGCUUUAUUCAUGUGUUUGUUUUUUUCAGAUGCUGAGAAGCCAAGUGGUGGACGUCCAGAGAGCAGAGAUCCUGAGAGAUCAAGUGGUGGACGUCCAGAGAGGAGAGAUCCUGAGAGAUCAAGUGGUGGACGUCCAGAGAGGAGAGGUGAGUUACACAUUGUCACACAUUGCUGCUUUAUUCAUGUGUUUGAUUGUUUCAGAUGCUGAGAGACCAAGUGGUGGACGUCCAGAGAGGAGAGAUCCUGAGAGAACAAGUGGUGGACGUCCAGAGAGGAGAGAUCCUGAGAGACCAAGUGGUGGACGUCCAGAGAGGAGAGAUCCUGAGAGAUCAAGUGGUGGACGUCCAGAGAGGAGAGAUCCUGAGAGAUCAAGUGGUGGACGUCCAGAGAGGAGAGGUGAGUUAAACAUUGUCACACAUUGCUGC